GGGGAGUAGACGGUGACGGGGAUUCCCUUCCUUUACCCGCCGCCUGCUCUCCCGACAGGAGGUGAAGGACCAGCUCAGUAUAUGAAGAAACAUUGUGCCCACUGGCACACACGUGGCAUCCUGCCUUGCAGGCCAGUCCACUGUUCCCCGGAAUUAGUAGGGGCCCUGGUGGGUUUUGGCUGAGACCCUUUGUAACUGCUGUGCUGGUUCGUCUUGAUGUGAUUUGAGAAUUUAUAAUGGACUUUAUCAUCGCUUCAGGCUUGCUUCUCAUCUGAUAUUAUCCACUUUGAAUUAAAUACCUGAAUAGGGCUUUAUGUGCUGAAAUACAAGUAUUAAAAUAGAAUUUAGAAUUACAA